GAUACAAAGGACGAGAUUAACAGUGAAAUUCCAUGCAAUGCCAGCAAUGAUGUUUCUGACUAUCCAGCAGUUGAGGCAAAACCUGAAGAACUAUCCGUUGAAAAAAAAUAUGAAGAACCACCAGCAGUUAUAUUGGAGAAACCUGCAGAACUAGCAGUUGAGGAGACACCUGAAAAAACACUAGUUGAAGAGAAGCCUGAAAACCCAGCAGCACGGGAAGAAACACUUGAAGAACCAGCAUUGGAAGAAACACCUGAAGAACCAACAGUUGAAGAGAAACCUGAAGAAGUAGUAGUUGAAGAAAAACUUGAUAAACCAGCAACUGAAAAAGAGAAACCUGAAAAGGUAACUUUCUGCGAAAAGGUGAGGAUCAAGCACUACCACAAAGUUUGCCAAUCCUAAUAGUUUGUAUGUGCAAGGAAUUCACAUAUGCUUAUUUAUUGAAAGACUAAGUGAAACCUUAAAUUCUUCUUGUAGAAUAUGCCUGUUGUAGACUCAAAUGGUAAGACUGGCAGUAAAAUUACAUGCAACACCAAUAAAGAUGUUGCUGAUAAUCCAGCAGUUGAGGAUGAAGAACCAGAAGUUGAGGAGAAACCUGAAGAACCAACAGUUGAAGAAAAACCUGAGGAACCAGCAAUGGAAGGAAAACUUGAGAAACUGGCAGUUGAAGAUAAACUUGAGGAACGAGCAGUUGAACAGAACCCUGAGGAAACAGCAGUUGAACCUGAAGAACCAACAGUUGAAGAAAAACCUGAAGAACCAGCAAUGGAAGGAAAACUUGAGAAACUGGCAGUUGAAGAUAAACUUGAGGAACGAGCAGUUGAAAAGAACACUGAGGAAACACCAG
rnacentral:lncRNA from 1 species